AUUGAACGCUGGCGGCAGGCCUAACACAUGCAAGUCGAACGAGUGGCGGACGGGUGAGUAAUGUCUGGGAAACUACCUGAUGUAGGGGGAUAACUACUGGAAACGGUAGCUAAUACCGCAUACCAUCGGAUGUGCCCAGAUGGGAUUAGCUAGUCGGUGGGGUAAAGGCUCACCUAGGCGACGAUCCCUAGCUGGUCUGAGAGGGUGACCGGCCACACUGGAACUGAGACACGGUCCAGACUCCUACGGGAGGCAGCAGUAGGGAAUAUUGCGCAAUGGACGCAAGCCUGAUGGAGCCAUGCCGCGUGUAUGAAGAAGGCCUUCGGGUUGUAAAGUACUUUCAGCGGGGAAGCGUUACCCAAAGAGGAAGCACCGGCUAACUCCGUGCCAGCAGCCGCGGUAAUUC
rnacentral:rRNA from 1 species